rnacentral:tRNA from 1 species
GGAGAUGUAGCUCAAAGUGGUAGAGCUCCUGCCUUGAAAGCACAGUGUCCUAAGUUCAAACCUCAGUAUUGACA